rnacentral:rRNA from 1 species
ACGGUCCUAAGGUAGCGAAAUUCCUUGUCGGGUAAGUUCCGACCCGCACGAAUGGCGUAACGAUGGCCACACUGUCUCCUCCUGAGACUCAGCGAAGUUGAAGUGGUUGUGAAGAUGCAAUCUACCCGCUGCUAGACGGAAAGACCCCGUGAACCUUUACUGUAGCUUUGCAUUGGACUUUGAAGUCACUUGUGUAGGAUAGGUGGGAGGCUUUGAAGCAGAGACGCCAGUCUCUGUGGAGCCGUCCUUGAAAUACCACCCUGGUGUCUUUGAGGUUCUAACCCAGACCCGUAAUCCGGGUCGGGGACCGUGCAUGGUAGGCAGUUUGACUGGGGCGGUCUCCUCCCAAAGAGUAACGGAGGAGUUCGAAGGUUACCUAGGUCCGGUCGGAAAUCGGACUGAUAGUGCAAUGGCAAAAGGUAGCUUAACUGCGAGACCGACAAGUCGAGCAGGUGCGAAAGCAGGACAUAGUGAUCCGGUGGUUCUGUAUGGAAGGGCCAUCGCUCAACGGAUAAAAGGUACUCCGGGGAUAACAGGCUGAUUCCGCCCAAGAGUUCAUAUCGACGGCGGAGUUUGGCACCUCGAUGUCGGCUCAUCACAUCCUGGGGCUGUAGUCGGUCCCAAGGGUAUGGCUGUUCGCCAUUUAAAGUGGUACGUGAGCUGGGUUUAAAACGUCGUGAGACAGUUUGGUCCCUAUCUGCAGUGGGCGUUGGAAGUUUGACGGGGGCUGCUCCUAGUACGAGAGGACCGGAGUGGACGAACCUCUGGUGUACCGGUUGUAACGCCAGUUGCAUAGCCGGGUAGCUAAGUUCGGAAGAGAUAAGCGCUGAAAGCAUCUAAGCGCGAAACUCGCCUGAAGAUGAGACUUCCCUUGUGGUUUAACCACACUAAAGAGUCGUUCGAGACCAGGACGUUGAUAGGUGGGGUGUGGAAGCGCGGUAACGUGUGAAGCUAACCCAUACUAAUUGCUCGUGAGGCUUGACUCU